GAAGCAGAUGUAUUUUUUCCUUUUCAAUUUUAUACUUUAAGCAUUGUUCGAAGUUUUUAUCAUGUACUUGUAUUCGUUACCAAAAAAUAAAGACAACUGGGCUGUAUGUUCGAGUUACACUCUCUGACCAUGCCAAAAGACAGCUCCUCCUUGCUGUUUCCAGGGGUAUACUUACCUGUCUUCUACUAUCUUGUUGGAUGGAUAAAAAACUUUGAAUGAAAAUCCGCUUCUUGGAAAAGAGCCCUUUGGAGAAAAAAAUGCCUUUACGCUCUGUCAACCGCAGCCUAGAAGCAGAUGGUCCUUCUUCCGAUGAAUCGUCAGAAGUAAAAGCUCUAUUGUGUGGCUGGCGGCAGUGCGCUCUCAGCUGAGGAUAUGAAGACGAUAAACCAAGUGUCAUCCUCAGAGCACAGGGGUCUGUGAGACAGAAAAGUCGAGGGCCGCCAUACAACAAAGGACCCCAGGCAGAAGGGGACAUUUAACGAGACCCUGAAUGAUAAAUAAGACUUUGCUAGUAAGAAACCAAAAGAGACAAGACAUUUCAGGCAGAGGAAGGGAUGUGUCAGGAGAGUUCCAAGAGUGAAAGAGUGGGAAGUGAUGCGAAGUUCAGUACCGUUGGCUCAUGAAGUGCACAAAGCAGAACGUCAGACGAGCACAGAGGACUUUCAAAGGAAAAGUAGAGAUCUGGCCAAAAAGUGAACUGGAAGAUCUCAAACACUAAGUAUAAUCUGUAUUUGAUUCAAUAGGCAGUAAACCUCCUUUUUGAAAGACUUCUGUGCAAAAUCACGACAAUACCAGAGCUUCCCGUCAGGAAGACUGAUCUGGCAACGUUAUGCAGGUGAUGGAAGCGGGAGAGAAAAGGCAUCCCCAGUGCUCACCCUCUUCAUCCUUUUUCAGGCUUCCUGCCACUGCCCAUCCUCUUCUUGAAACCUUCUUCUGUUUCUGCCAUCUAACACCAUGCCGGCCCCCACGAUUCUCUCCUUUUCCCUUCCACCGCUGCCUCCCCCACAGCUGCCUCUCUUUCUCAGAGGGGCUACUCCUCUACUCCAUCUACCCCUCUGGGCAGAUGGCCCCUAAAUCCCUCUCUGCCCAGAUCUCUUUCUUCAGCUCUCAGUGUACUUGUCACCUGA